AAAAACAUCACUUUGGCUUCUCCCAAGUUUAUCCUACUCUUUAUCUGGUGCAAGGAAACAAACAGAGAAACCUGACCCUGUUACUUAUUCCCCAGAUGACAUCAAUGUGCUCUCCCAUGGUCUUCUACAGCUUGGAGCUGAGCUCAAGGAGCAAGUGAGUUACAGCAAAAAGCACACGGGCCACCUGUUUAAGCAACUGGACACCUUGAACACCUCUUUAGCUGAGCUUCUAGGUCAGCCAGCAGGAGAGAAGGAAAGAGGGCUUUGAGAGGAGAGAGGAGCAGCUCAACAAGAGGGGUGAAGGCCCCCCUCAGCAGGCUGCUGAGCUCCAGUGUCAACUGGUUGCAGGGAUGACCUACAGGGAGGGAUUUAAUGAGGAGCUGAAGUUGCUGGAGCAAAGUCGGAAGAUGCAGCACUCUUCAAGGCAAAUGGGCUUCCAGUGACAAAGGUGAUGGAUGAUGUCAUGAGCCAAAAAAUUGAUGACCUAUUUACUGAAGUGGAAAUGCAGCAAAGCCAACUGCAUGAACAAAGAUGCUGGCAUUCAAAAACUACCGGAAAAGGUUAGAUCAAAGUGCAAAUUCACAAAGGAACCAGUGAAAAAUGAAAACAGAAGGAAAACUCCUGAUGUGUAGGGUGAAGAGAACAUUCUGUCUUCAGAAAUCAGAGCAAGAAAAAUGGAAGGUGAAACAUGUUCCAGGGCACCAGUCAGAGCCCCACAAGGCUGUCUGCCCUAGGAAAUGGUGCAAGAUUAGAAGGAGGCACUGGGGGUAUUAUCGCAAGCAGCAGCUUGCCCCUUAGUAACCCCUGUCCUCCACAGGCCAGGCUGCAAUGUUUUGUACAAAUGCUGGUACUGUACACUGAACAUCAGGGACCUUUACACCCCUCACAAACAGCAAAUGCAGUUAUGACGCCAGAAACACAAUGGUAUCAAAUUGUUUAAAAACUCUACAAUAAAUGAUCCAAUAUUCUUUCUC